GAUUCCACAAAUCCAUCUGUGUACACUCCCUCGUGCCUUGUCCAUAGAAGAGGCAUAACAGUAAUAGUUAUUACAGCUAGCAUUUAUAUAGGGCUCUAAAGUUUGCAAAGUAUCUCAAUUGAUCUUCACCUCAAUCCCAGGAGAUACUAGAUACUAUUAUUGUGCCCAUUUUAUAGUUAAGGAAACUGAAGUAAGCAAAGAUUAAGUGCCUUCCUUCUUCCAGAUCUUGUAGCGACUCUCUGAGGCUGGAUUUGAACUCAGCCUUCCCGAGUCUAGCCAGAAAGCUUUCUAUCCGCUGUACUAUGUAGCUGCUUAUUAAUGCUGUAAUUCAUGAAUGCUUCUGAACUGACUGAUGAUUAAUUGAUAUGAGUUCAUAGAUCCCCACUAGGUAAUGAGGACAACCUAACCUAGUUUAUGUGCAAAGAGCCCCAGGAGUACCUGAGUGAAGAGAAGAUGAGAAUUAGGACAUUCACAAACAGAGGCAAAGCGAAGCCACCCAAGGGGACAGCCGUGGAGAAAGUGGAUCUUUCUCCAUGUCCUGGCCACGUCCAUGAAUCACUGUGGUAGGUAAGGCAGAAGGAAGACUAUAUUUGGCAUCCGAAUACAAGAGUUCAAUGACUGACUCUGACAUCUGCUCUUUGAGUGAUCACGAACAUGAAGUCACAGAGGCACAAAGGAGGAUGACAUGGCUGGGAAUGGGGAGAGAGGCAUGAUGGAGGGAUUCCCUAGACCCGGGCAGCAGAGGUGAGACCUCUCAGGAGUGGCCCAAUGGUCCUGCCCAGGCUUCAGGUUGAGCAGAUGGCAGAAGUUCUGGGAGGUCAAUGCUUGGCAUCAUUGCAGGGUACCAGAAGCAUUGGCAUCAAGAAAUAAAAAGAACAUAUUCUGCUAGUCAUCUGAAACUAAAAGGGGAAAUUGAAGAAAGAACGUGUCAUUUGUUGGAAUUUCCUCCAAUCCUGGAACAGAAAGAUCAGAGGGAAUUCAGAGGAGGCAGAUGCCAGCUCUCCAAGAGUGUUCAGGGAUUUGGGACAGUCUCAUGCUUCUUUUUGGCUCUCGACCAUGUCCCUUGUUGUCACUCCGAAGAAGAGUCUAUCACAAGGGCAGAGUCGAAGUGAUAUGUUGGCUAUGAGAGAGGGAGAUCUUUAAAAAGAAAGAUUCAAAGCUUCUGUGCUUUUUAGCCAAGGUUGGUAUCAGUAAAUUACUCCCUAUAAUGCUAAUGUUUGCUCAGAGAAUAGAGGAGGUUGUAAACAGUUGCUGGAGUAAUUAAACAGAAACCAUGGACGUGUUUAGCCUUCUGAAGGGGUGGGAAGAAGUAGAUGGUGAAUUUUAUUGUCCUGUCUCUUUAAAUAACCACUAGAGAGUCCCCUGGUCAUGUGUUUGAAAAUCAUUGAUUCUAAAUUAAUAAUGUAGAAAUAGGUAUAAGUGAUAACAUUUGUAUAACCCAAUGAAAAUGCUUAUUGGAUCUGGGAGGGGGAAGGGAAAGAAAAUGAAAUAUGGAAACAUGAAAAAAUAUUUUUAAAAUUUAAAAUUUAAAAAAAGAAAAGAAAAUCACUGAUGAUUCUUAGUUUAUUGGAACUGGAAUGGAU
ensembl:lncRNA